AAUACAUGCAAGUCGAACGGGGGUAGCAAUACUCCAGUGGCGACCGGGUGCGUAACACGUAGCUGACCUGCCCCUCAGCGGGGGAUAACGGCUCGAAAGAGCCGCUAAUACCGCAUGCACUGGUGAAUGUUAGAGGUUCACCAGAAAACUUCAGGGGUUGAGGGAGGGAGCUGCGACCCAUCAGGUAGUUGGUAAGGUAGUGGCUUACCAAGCCGAUGACGGGUAGGGGGCCUGAGAGGGUGGUCCCCCACACUGGGACUGACACACGGCCCAGACUCCUACGGGAGGCAGCAGUAAGGGAUAUUGGUCAAUGGGCGCAAGCCUGAACCAGCAACGCUGCGUGCAGGAUGACGGCCUUCGGGUUGUAAACUGCUUUUGGUGGGGACGAGCGAGGACGGUACCCACCGAAUAAGUCACGGCUAACUACGUGCCAGCAGCCGCGGUAACACGUAGGUGGCGAGCGUUAUCCGGAUUUACUGGGCGUAAAGCGUGUGCAGACGGAGCAGCAAGUGGUGUAUGAAAUCGCGGUGCUUAACACAGCGAGGUUAUGCCAGACUGCUGGACUAGAGUGCGAGAGAGGGAGAUGGAAUUCCGGGUGUAGUGGUGAAAUGCGUAGAGAUCCGGAGGAACCCCAGAGGCGAAAGCGGUCUCCUGGCUCGCAACUGACGUUCAGACACGACAGCAUGGGGAGCGAACGGGAUUAGAAACCCCGGUAGUCCAUGCCGUAAACGAUGCCGACUAGGCGCUGGUGGUGAUAAACCGUCGGUGCCGCAGCUAACGCGCUAAGUCGGCCGCCUGGGGACUACGGCCGCAAGGCUAAAACUCAAAGGAAUUGACGGGGGCCCGCACAAGCAGCGGAGCGUGUGGUUUAAUUCGAGGCUACACGAAGAACCUUACCUGGACUUGACAUGGGACAGAACGAGGGUGAAAGCCUGAGGUUCGCAAGACUGUUUCACAGGUGCUGCAUGGCUGUCGUCAGCUCGUGUCGUGAGAUGUUAGGUUAAGUCCCGCAACGAGCGCAACCCCCGUCCCAUGUUGCCAGCAUUCAGUUGGGGACUCAUGGGAGACUGCCGGUGACAAACCGGAGGAAGGUGGGGAUGACGUCAAGUCAUCAUGCCCCUUAUGUCCAGGGCUGCACACGUGCUACAUUGGCCGAUACAGAGGGUUGCGAUACCGCGAGGUGGAGCGAAUCCCAAAAAGUCGGUCUCGGUUCGGAUUGGAGGCUGCAAUUCGCCUCCAUGAAGGUGGAGUUGCUAGUA
rnacentral:rRNA from 1 species